CUAAAUCUUCUAAAGAAAAUAUGCUGUAAGAGUGGAAAGGCUGAGCAUCUUUAUGAGGAAUGAACUCCUGAAAAACACCAGCUGUUCCUUUGUGAAAAUGUAGAUUCAGUGCUCCACAGGAGUGGUAAUUCAGGGUCUAAGUUCAAGAGAGGAACAAGUGACUUGUUUGCAGAGCACACCCCUGUGACCCAUGUAGGGGAGAGUUGGAGGGGCCUCCCCUGGAACUCCUGCAGUGCUUCCUCCCUUCUCCAAGAGGGCUGUCCUCACAGAGCACUUUUCUUUAGGAGGUCAUCAAGCCACAUGGGAGCUAAACUCACAAUUCUAUCUUAAAGUCAAGCAUUUAUGGUUCUGUAGAUUUGCUUGAAAACUAAAGCAAUUGAGUUAAUGCAGGAAAGUAAUUGUGUCAUCAAGGUCUCUGGCUGCUGCUGGUGUUGGGAGAAUCUUCCAGGAGAGAGGCUGGAUACUGAUGGUCAGGACUUCACUCGGUGGUCCCAAGGUUUCUCCAGCUGUGUAGUAUUGUAAAAAUAAAAAUCUCCACCUAUGUGUUUAAAUACCA